rnacentral:rRNA from 1 species
GAUGAACGCUGGCGGCGUGCCUAAUACAUGCAAGUCGAGCGAACGGACGAGAAGCUUGCUUCUCUGAUGUUAGCGGCGGACGGGUGAGUAACACGUGGAUAACCUACCUAUAAGACUGGGAUAACUUCGGGAAACCGGAGCUAAUACCGGAUAAUAUUUUGAACCGCAUGGUUCAAAAGUGAAAGACGGUCUUGCUGUCACUUAUAGAUGGAUCCGCGCUGCAUUAGCUAGUUGGUAAGGUAACGGCUUACCAAGGCAACGAUGCAUAGCCGACCGGAGAGGGUGAUCGGCCACACUGGAACUGAGACACGGUCCAGACUCCUACGGGAGGCGGCAGUAGGGAAUCUUCCGCAAUGGGCGAAAGCCUGACGGAGCAACGCCGCGUGAGUGAUGAAGGUCUUCGGAUCGUAAAACUCUGUUAUUAGGGAAGAACAUAUGUGUAAGUAACUGUGCACAUCUUGACGGUACCUAAUCAGAAAGCCACGGCUAACUACGUG